UACGUAGGGUGCAAGCGUUGUCCGGAAUCAUUGGGCGUAAAGCGCGUGUAGGCGGUUCGAUAAGUCUUCUGUGAAAGUCCAAGGCUCAACCUUGGGAUGCCGGUGGAUACUGUCGGGCUAGAGUGCGGAAGAGGCGAGUGGAAUUCCCGGUGUAGCGGUGAAAUGCGCAGAUAUCGGGAGGAACACCAAUUGCGAAGGCAGCUCGCUGGGACGUAACUGACGCUGAGACGCGAAAGCGUGGGGAGCAAACAGG
rnacentral:rRNA from 1 species